rfam:Helianthus annuus linkage group 17, whole genome shotgun sequence.
CUGCAUGUAGCACCCCGGGCUUCUCCGAAACAAUAAUUGUAUGAAGAAGAAAGCCCCAAUGCUCGUGCUAUAUCAGAUCUAUUGCCGUCGAGUGUUGCAGUUCAGCCCUCUGUACCUUUUCAGUGGCCGCUUCUGUGUCAAAUUGACGGCUACACAC